rnacentral:rRNA from 1 species
CUACGGGCGGCUGCAGUGGGGCAUAUUGCACAAUGGGCGCAAGCCUGAUGCAGCCAUGCCGCGUGUGUGAAGAAGGCCUUCGGGUUGUAAAGCACUUUCAGCGGGGAGGAAGGCGGUGAGGUUAAUAACCUCAUCGAUUGACGUUACCCGCAGAAGAAGCACCGGCUAACUCCGUGCCAGCAGCCGCGGUAAUACGGAGGGUGCAAGCGUUAAUCGGAAUUACUGGGCGUAAAGCGCACGCAGGCGGUCUGUCAAGUCGGAUGUGAAAUCCCCGGGCUCAACCUGGGAACUGCAUUCGAAACUGGCAGGCUAGAGUCUUGUAGAGGGGGGUAGAAUUCCAGGUGUAGCGGUGAAAUGCGUAGAGAUCUGGAGGAAUACCGGUGGCGAAGGCGGCCCCCUGGACAAAGACUGACGCUCAGGUGCGAAAGCGUGGGGAGCAAACAGGAUUAGAUACCCCUGUAGUC